rnacentral:rRNA from 1 species
UACAGAGGUCUCAAGCGUUGUUCGGAUUCAUUGGGCGUAAAGGGUGCGUAGGCGGCGCGGUAAGUCGGGUGUGAAAUCUCGGGGCUUAACUCCGAAACUGCAUUCGAUACUGCCGUGCUUGAGGACUGGAGAGGAGACUGGAAUUUACGGUGUAGCGGUGAAAUGCGUAGAGAUGUGGAGGAACACCAGUGGCGAAGGCGACUCUUUGGUCUGUAACUGACGCUGAGGAGCGAAAGCGUGGGGAGCGAACAGG